AUGUUAUCUAAAGGCUUGCUGUUUCAAUAUUCCACAGACAGGAUAAAAGGACAAUUGCUAGACUGGUCUAAGAGACUCAAAAUAAUCAAGGGGUUGGUAGAGGGGCUUGUUUACCUGCACAAGCACUCUAUGUUACAUAUUGUCCAUAGGGACUUGAAACCGAAUAAUAUUCUCUUGGAAUGUGACAUGACCCCAAAGAUUUCUGAUUUUGGAUCAGCUCAAACACUCUGUUCAGACGUAACAGAAGAGCGUACAAGCAGGGUGGUGGGCACUAGUGGUUACAUUGCUCCGGAGUAUGCAUCUCGAGCAGUUUACUCACUGAAGACAGAUGUCUUCAGCUUUGGCAUCUUGGUUCUGGAGACCAUUAGCGGACGAAAGAACACCAUACUCGACAAGCGAGGGGAUACCGUUGGCGAUCUUGUACGAGAUGCCUGGUGUCUGUGGAAGGACAGAAGGCUGCAUGAGCUCGUGGAUCCGUCUCUAGGGAACAGAUAUGAAGUCGCUGAGAUAACACGAUGUGCUCAGGUGGCACUGCUCUGUGCUCAGGAAGAUCCAGCAGAUCGGCCCACCAUGACUGACGUUGCUGCAAUGUUGAGCUCCGAAAGCAUGAGGCUACCAAUGGAGCCUAAGCAGCCUGCCGUGCUGAGUGAAGGGAGUGCUGGUGAAGAUACAUAUAUGAGCCAGUCAAGCAGGACGGUGGACAUAACCAUAACAAGUUCAGCCACUGUGCUGACUAGGGUUCGGAUCAUUGUAGACCCGGAGGUUUGA
rnacentral:rRNA from 1 species